rnacentral:tRNA from 1 species
AUUACUUUGGCAGAUAAGUGCAUUGAAUUUAGAAUUCAUAGAUGUAGAUAUUAAUUUCUAUAGGUAAUG